rnacentral:lncRNA from 1 species
CUUGGACUGGUUUGGGGGGAAGCUAUGAAAAGAAGUCAAUUCCAGGAAUAUUUUAAGGUAGAGCUGGGCUGUGUGCAACCCUCAGUGGUAGAGUGUAUGUUUAAUGUUAAGGAGGUCCCAGGUUCAAUCUCCAACACCAAAAAACAAAAGGUAAAGUUGACUAGACAGACUGAUAAGUUAAAUAAAGGAUCUGAGACAAAAAGAGUUAAUCCAAGGCUGUCCUUUAGCAAACAGAAAGAUCAAAUUAGAUGAGGAGAGAAGCAAGUUUUAGAGGGUGGAACAGAGGGAAGAUAGAUAAGUUCUCAGCAAUAAGAUAGUUCUGAUCUUAUUCAAAGUUUAAACUGGGAUGGUUCUUACUAGUACACCUUGAAUUUUAUCUUAAAGCUGUUUUCUUUAUUACUAUUAUAACACAAAUCCCAUAAAUCUCAGAUGAUUAAUAAAUUACAUCUUAAUUACAUCUUAAAAAUUAGCAAAGCAAGCUGAGUGUGGUGGUGAGCACCUCAUGAGUAGUCCCAGCUACUUAGGAGGUUGAGGCAGGAGGAUCGUAGUUCAAGGUCAGCCUAGGUAACUUAGCAAGACCCUGUCUGAAAUUAAUUAAUUAAUUAUUAAUUAUAAAUGAAAAUGGCAAAAACUGCCCACAAAGUCUAAGUGCAAAUUAAAAACUGAAAAAAAAUUGUAGUUUAUAUUAUAAAUCUAGGUUUUCUAAGAUACAAAGAGUUCCUACAAAUAGAUAAGAAACAAGAACAACAACUCAAUGGAAAAACGGACAAUGAAUCUGAAUAAACAGUUCACACAUGAACACACACAAAAAACAACUAUGAUGACUUUUAAAUAUAAGACAUUCAAUUGUCUCAACAGCAAGUUAAAACUAUGAUUAAAUAAUUUCUUCACUUAUCAGAUUGAUAAAGAUCAAAAAAAAGUUAGUAAUUCAGGGCAUUGGCUAAAGCAUAGGAAAAUAGCAUUCUCAUUUAUCAGAUUCUGUGGAGAACAAUCUGGCAACAUCUAUCAUUGUCAUCAUUAUUAUUUUUAGUGCCAGUGAUUGAACCUGGGGCCUUGUGCAUGCCAAACAUGCACUCCACCACUGAACUACACCCCCAGCCCUUCUAUCAUUAUUUUAAAGGCACGAACUUUUUGACCAGACAAUUCAACUUCUAGCUAGUAAACAAGAGA